UCCCUGCCUCACUCUAGUUACAU
rnacentral:miRNA from 2 species